GUACAUGCACUUUACUGUGCAAUCCUCGCAGAUAAAAAGCGAUCUUGCUGGCAGAGUCCAGAGAAGAACCAGUGCAGAAACCCACCAUGAAAACUGCAGUUGUUUUAGUCGUUUUGGGGAUGGUGUUGCUACAUGCUGAAGCUUUGAAGUGUCGGAAAAGCGCAUGUACUGGCCUUAGACCAUGCACGACUACUGAAGUAACAUGUGACUCAAAGUCCACUCUGUGCUUUGUGAUGACGCGCUCCAAGCCCAUAGUUUCACUAACUCGUGGGUGCAUCACGGAGGCAAAUUGUUCCAUACUGAAGGGUUUUGAUCCUAAUGUUCGGUGCUGUUCCAAUGACCUCUGCAACUAAGUAUAGAAGUAUUCUACAGACCUCUGCAACUAAGUAUGAAGUAUUCUACAGACCUCUGCAACUAAGUAUAAGAGUAUUCUACAGCCCUCUGCAACUAAGUAUAGAAGUAUUCUACAGCCCUCUGCAACUAAGUAUAGAAGUAUUCUACAGCCCUCUGCAACUAAGUAUAGAAGUAUUCUACAGCCCUCUGCAACUAAGUAUAGAAGUAUUCUACAGCCCUCUGCAACUAAGUAUAGAAGUAUUCUACAAAUGACCGUAUGUUCUCCUAAUAUGCCCACCUGAAGUGGGCGAUAUAAGGCUAAUUUGAUUAUUUGGCCCUAGAACCAAAUGAUCGAAUUACAAAGAUGUCUAUAGGAGCCGUUGGACUAAGGACCACAUCAAUGAGCUGAUGUGGUUCCUGAUCCAAUGCGAAAGUCAAACCUGCUUGAUCAACUCCUGGCCAAUUUUUGGCCCCAUACAUGGGCAGAUAAGCUACCAAAUCUCGAAUUGGCAGCUGAAAUCUGCCCGUGUAUAGCCACCUUCAGUAUAGACGUAAUCUACAGACCUCUGCAACUAAGAACUAUGCUGAUACCCAAAGAAGCCUACAAUAAUCAGAAAUUGGUUUUACAUUGUAUGUACUUGUUUUGCCAAUAGUUCAUAAUGCUAAAGCUUUAAAAUAAUUUGGAAUAAAAUUGUUUUUGAUUAUA